GGGCGCGGAGGGGCGGGACCGCCGCCAUCUUGGGGCGGGGCCGGCCGCCAUUUUGUGCGUGAGGGGAGCGGCUACAGGGAGUCCCUCACUUCAGCGAGCAGCGCAGUGAAGGCUGCUGUGGGAGUGAUCGGGCUCGUUUUUGAGGGGUUCAGGCUCGUUUUUGAGGAGUUUGGGCUCGGUUUGGGGGGGUUCUGGCUGUUGCUGCCCCCCUUUAGCCGAGCCCACGCAGCUGUGGUUCCAGUGCAGCCUCCCCGUCCCCACCAAUGGACACCCCCCCGACUCGGUCCCUGUGAGAGGAGUGGGUUCAGACAGACUCAGCUGCCCCGUCCGCCAGCUCCGCGUCUGUCUGAAAGUGUCCCUGUCCCCACACCGUGGGCUGCUGCCCUCAGCCACCAUCGCACCGACCCGGGAAGCCAUCAGUCCACAGCCAGCAAAGCAAGGAGAGUAAAAUCCCCAGUGCUGCCUCCGUGAUUGGAAACGACCUACCUAUGAAAUCAAUUAAAAGAAUUUUGCACAUUAACAAAA